CCUAUCUUUGCUUAAUAUUAGGAAAACAAGUUCUUUUACUGAAUGGAAUUUAUCGAGGAUGCCAAGCUACUCUUCUCUCGUUGGACAGUGAAAAAUUCUGUGUCAGCAUCAGAUUAGAAUCGGGUGCAAUGAAAGGAAGAGUAGUGAAUGGAGUGCAAUAUGAAGACAUUAGUAAACUUGCACAAUGAUGGAAUUAAUGCUUGAUCCAUCCUCAAGAUUGGACUCCUGCGUAUCUGUGGUCACCAGCUGUCUGAAGCAGCUUAUAAAGAGCCCACUCCCGACGGCUCCAACUCUGUUGGGCGUCAAAUAUUUAAUAACACAAAAGAGGAUACCAGUGUUGUAGCUCAGUUGGUUGAGCAACAGAAUAUUGAUCUUGACCUUGAAAUUCUACUGGGACUAUUUUAUGUAUAGUAACUAUUAUUAAUACAUUCACAAUAAGACAUUUUUUUUUUAGUUGAAACUGCAGUCUGUAUCAAGGUUAAUCUACGUAAGCAUACACACAACAUAGAUUUAUUCCAGUUGACCUUUGACAUGGCAUGCACAGUUCAAAUUAUGCCAGUUGACCUUGGAUAUGGCAUGCACAGUUCAAAUUACAAAUUUCACUAAAGUAAAGAGUUUUUACUUUAAUGUUGGCAGUAUUAUUGAGAAAUAAGUGAGUGAAACAAAUGCAGUUAGUCUAUUUAUCUUUUAUUGUAUUUUUGUACACAAUAAAAUGAAUUUGAAAUUAUAGUUUUUAUUAGUCGCAUUGCAUUGUCGCAAUCAUAAUAUCUUAAUACCCUGUUCAUGAUUAAAACAGAAAUCAGCAAAUAAAAACCCUCAAAGCAUAAAUUAAAAACACCCUGGCAACAAUUACACUAACUAUUCCUUAAAUAGUGUAGAAACAUAUAUCAGAAAUAAAUUCAUUAAAUUAAUUUGCUAUUUUUUUAUACCUUCAUUCAGAACACUAAGGCCGCAGUAAAAAUAAUCUCUCCACUCCCACCCACCACCACUUUUACCUAGAAAUUAGCAUAAUUGAAAAGGCGAAAAAACAUCUACUUGUAGUUUCAGCAAUACCAUAAAAUGAAUAUGUUUACAAAUGCUACCACACUAAUUAUCACUUCAG